CCUACGGGAGGCAGCAGUGGGGAAUCUUGGACAAUGGGCGCAAGCCUGAUCCAGCCAUGCCGCGUGAGUGAUGAAGGCCUUAGGGUCGUAAAGCUCUUUCGCCAGAGAUGAUAAUGACAGUAUCUGGUAAAGAAACCCCGGCUAACUCCGUGCCAGCAGCCGCGGUAAUACGGAGGGUCCAAGCGUUAUCCGGAUUUAUUGGGUUUAAAGGGUCCGUAGGCUGGCGAUUAAGUCAGAGGUGAAAGCUUACCGCUUAACGGUGAAACUGCCUUUGAUACUGGUUGUCUUGAAUACAUUUGAAGUAGGCGGAAUAUGUAGUGUAGCGGUGAAAUGCAUAGAUAUUACAUAGAACACCAAUUGCGAAGGCAGCUUACUAAGAUGUUAUUGACGCUGAUGGACGAAAGCGUGGGUAGCGAACGGGAUUAGAUACCCCGGUAGUCCACGCCGUAAACGAUGUUAACUCGGUGCUUGCUUCGUAGAAGUGAGUGCCCAAGCGAAAGUAUUAAGUUAACCACCUGGGGAGUACGCUCGCAAGAGUGAAACUCAAAGGAAUUGACGGGG
rnacentral:rRNA from 1 species